CUCCGCAAUAGCUCCCGUCCUUUGGAAGGAAGAAGAGCCAACUGGGGUCAUUUGCCUUGGUCUCCUCUCUUCAUUAGAUCCAUAUAAAGAUUGUUGCAGCCCUCAGUGUCGACAGAGAAGCCCGGGCUGGAGAGCCGGAGACGGCCAUGUGCAGAGAGGCCAGGCAAUGCCUGAUUGUGAUUGCAGGAAACUGUUGCCCACACAGAACUGGUUGCUGCAGUAGGAGCUGGAAUAAGAGACAGGGUCCUGCAGAUCUUUGAGCGUUAAGACAAAACCUUUGUCCUGAAAGACUUCGUGAGCUGGUCCUGAGAGACUGUGG